rnacentral:rRNA from 1 species
AUUGAACGCUGGCGGCAUGAUUUACACAUGCAAGUCGAACGGUAACAGGCCGCAAGGUGCUGACGAGUGGCGAACGGGUGAGUAAUGCAUCGGAACGUGCCCAGUCGUGGGGGAUAACUACUCGAAAGAGUAGCUAAUACCGCAUACGAUCUAUGGAUGAAAGCGGGGGACCGUAAGGCCUCGCGCGAUUGGAGCGGCCGAUGUCAGAUUAGGUAGUUGGUGGGGUAAAGGCUCACCAAGCCAACGAUCUGUAGCUGGUCUGAGAGGACGACCAGCCACACUGGGACUGAGACACGGCCCAGACUCCUACGGGAGGCAGCAGUGGGGAAUUUUGGACAAUGGGCGCAAGCCUGAUCCAGCAAUGCCGCGUGCAGGAAGAAGGCCUUCGGGCUGUAAACUGCUUUUGUACGGAACGAAACGGCUCUGGUUAAUACCCGGGGCUAAUGACGGUACCGUAAGAAUAAGCACCGGCUAACUACGUG